CCUACGGGAGGCAGCAGUAGGGAAUAUUGCUCAAUGGGCGAAAGCCUGAAGCAGCAACGCCGCGUGGAGGAUGAAGGCUUUAGGGUUGUUAACUCCUUUUGUUAGAGAAGAUUAUGACGGUAUCUAUCGAAUAAGCACUGUGCAACUCCGGGCCAGCAGCCGCGGUAAUAAGGGGGGUGCAAGCGUUAUUCGGAAUCACUGGGCGUAAAGCGUGAGUAGGCGGGGUAAUAAGUCUGAUGUUAAAUCCUUGAGCUUAACCACAGAACUGCAUUUGAUACUGUUACUCUGGAGUGUGGGAGAGGUAGGUGGAAUUAUUGGUGUAGCGGUGAAAUCCGUAGAUAUCAGGAAGAAUACUCAUUGCGAAGGCGGCCUACUGGACCAUUACUGACGCUGAUGCACGAGAGCGUGGGGAGCAAACAGGAUUAGAUACCCGAGUAGUC
rnacentral:rRNA from 1 species